rnacentral:rRNA from 1 species
GUUUGAUCCUGGCUCAGGAUGAACGCUAGCUACAGGCUUAACACAUGCAAGUCGAGGGGCAGCAUGAAAGUUUGUUUGCAAACUUUUGAUGGCGACCGGCGCACGGGUGAGUAACACGUAUCCAACCCGCCUCAUACUCGGGGAUAGCCUUUCGAAAGAAAGAUUAAUACCCGAUGUCAUAGUCCUACCGCAUGAUGGGACUAUUAAAGAAUUUCGGUAUGGGAUGGGGAUGCGUUCCAUUAGUUAGUUGGCGGGGUAACGGCCCACCAAGACAACGAUGGAUAGGGGUUCUGAGAGGAAGGUCCCCCACAUUGGAACUGAGACACGGUCCAAACUCCUACGGGAGGCAGCAGUGAGGAAUAUUGGUCAAUGGACGAGAGUCUGAACCAGCCAAGUAGCGUGAAGGAUGACUGCCCUAUGGGUUUAAACUUCUUUUAUAUGGGAAUAAAACGUUCACGUGUGGGAUUUUGUAUGUACCAUAUGAAUAAGGAUCGGCUAACUCCGUGCCAGCAGCCGCGGUAAUACGGAGGAUCCGAGCGUUAUCCGGAUUUAUUGGGUUUAAAGGGAGCGUAGGUGGAUUGUUAAGUCAGUUGUGAAAGUUUGCGGCUCAACCGUAAAAUUGCAGUUGAAACUGGCAGUCUUGAGUACAGUAGAGGUGGGCGGAAUUCGUGGUGUAGCGGUGAAAUGCUUAGAUAUCACGAAGAACUCCGAUUGCGAAGGCAGCUCACUGGACUGCAACUGACACUGAGGCUCGAAAGUGUGGGUAUCAAACAGGAUUAGAUACCCUGGUAGUCCACACAGUAAACGAUGAAUACUCGCUGUUUGCGAUAUACAGUAAGCGGCCAAGCGAAAGCAUUAAGUAUUCCACCUGGGGAGUACGCCGGCAACGGUGAAACUCAAAGGAAUUGACGGGGGCCCGCACAAGCGGAGGAACAUGUGGUUUAAUUCGAUGAUACGCGAGGAACCUUACCCGGGCUUAAAUUGCACCUGAAUAAUGUGGAAACAUGUUAGCCGUAAGGCAGGUGUGAAGGUGCUGCAUGGUUGUCGUCAGCUCGUGCCGUGAGGUGUCGGCUUAAGUGCCAUAACGAGCGCAACCCUUAUCUUCAGUUACUAACAGGUCAUGCUGAGGACUCUGGAGAGACUGCCGUCGUAAGAUGUGAGGAAGGUGGGGAUGACGUCAAAUCAGCACGGCCCUUACGUCCGGGGCUACACACGUGUUACAAUGGGAGGUACAGAAGGCCGCUACCUGGCGACAGGAUGCCAAUCCCCAAAACCUCUCUCAGUUCGGAUCGAAGUCUGCAACCCGACUUCGUGAAGCUGGAUUCGCUAGUAAUCGCGCAUCAGCCAUGGCGCGGUGAAUACGUUCCCGGGCCUUGUACACACCGCCCGUCAAGCCAUGAAAGCCGGGGGUACCUGAAGUACGUAACCGCAAGGAUCGUCCUAGGGUAAAACUGGUAAUUGGGGCUAAGUCGUAACAAGGUAGCCGUACCGGAAGGUGCGGCUGGAACACCUCCUUUCUGGAGCGAUGUCGUAACGAUGACUUUUUCAAGGUUCUGUUUUUUGUACUACUGGUACUUGUUUAUUUAUAAAAUAUAGAAUCAACCAUCUAUAGAAAGUAUAGAAUAGAGAUAAACAAGAAGAAAACAGAAGCCGAGUCUAACUCAACAGGUAAACAAGGUUGAACUAGUCCUAUAGCUCAGUUGGUUAGAGCGCUACACUGAUAAUGUAAAGGUCGGCAGUUCAACUCUGCCUGGGACUACUCCGAAACUCUUUGGGGGGAUUAGCUCAGCUGGCUAAAGCAUCUGCCUUGCACGCAGAGGGUCAACGGUUCGAAUCCGUUAUUCUCCACAGUCUCUGAAAAGAGAAACGAUCUUUGACAUGAUGUAACCAAAAAGUAAAAAUUUUAGUAAAGAGCUAAAAGUAUAUAAUCGAACCGUACGUUCUUGACGUAUCAAGACUGUGUAACCA